rnacentral:rRNA from 1 species
UACGAAGGGGGCUAGCGUUGUUCGGAUUUACUGGGCGUAAAGCGCACGUAGGCGGAUCGUUAAGUCGGGGGUGAAAUCCUGGAGCUCAACUCCAGAACUGCCUUCGAUACUGGCGAUCUUGAGUCCGGAAGAGGUGAGUGGAAUUCCUAGUGUAGAGGUGAAAUUCGUAGAUAUUAGGAAGAACACCAGUGGCGAAGGCGGCUCACUGGUCCGGUACUGACGCUGAGGUGCGAAAGCGUGGGGAGCAAACAGG